UACGUAGGUGGCAAGCGUUGUUCGGAAUUAUUGGGCGUAAAGGGUGCGUAGGCGGCGCGGUAAGUCGGGUGUGAAAUCUCGGGGCUUAACUCCGAAACUGCAUUCGAUACUGCCGUGCUUGAGGACUGGAGAGGAGACUGGAAUUUACGGUGUAGCGGUGAAAUGCGUAGAUAUCAAGAGGAACACCUGCGGCGAAGGCGGGUUGCUGGGCCGACACUGACGCUGAGGCGCGAAAGCCAGGGGAGCGAACGGG
rnacentral:rRNA from 1 species